AGAGAUGCACUGGGUGUAAAGCGUGCGCAGGCGGUUUUGUAAGACAGAGGUGAAAUCCCCGGGCUCAACCUGGGAACUGCCUUUGUGACUGCAAGGCUGGAGUGCGGCAGAGGGGGAUGGAAUUCCGCGAGUAGCAGUGAAAUGCGUAGAUAUGCGGAGAAACACCGAUGGCGAAGGCAAUCCCCUGGGCCUGCACUGACGCUCAUGCACGAAAGCGUGGGGAGCAAACA
rnacentral:rRNA from 1 species